rnacentral:RNase_P_RNA from 1 species
UGAGUUCGCCGGGUGGCCGCGGCUGGAAACAGUCGAGGAAAGUCCGGACUCCGUAGGGCAGGACGCUGGGUAACCCCCAGGCGGCGCGAGCCGAUGGAAAGCGCAACAGAGAGCAGACCGCCGAUGGCGCGCAAGCGCACAGGCAAGGGUGAAAGGGUGGGGUAAGAGCCCACCGGCAUCCCGGGUGACCGGGGUGGCCAGGCAAGCCCCGUUCGGAGCAAGACCAAGCAGGGACAGGACGGCCCGUCCGCUACGUCUCAGGUGGGUUGCACGAGGCCGACCAGCAAUGGCGGUCCCAGAAAGAUGGCCACCCCCGGGGCAACCCGGGACAGAAUCCGGCUUACAGGCGAACUCAGGAA